GCCAGAGUGGUGGGGAAAAGUCUGCAAGAGAAUUUCUUUGAACUUGACCGUUUCUCUCCAAGGCUGAUGGACCUCCUUUAGGAAAAAAGAAAGGCCUGCCCAGCGAGCUUUUGGCUGAGCUUUACGUCAGACAAAGACCACUGAGCCAACACACAUCAGGUGCCUAUGUCUUCGGGGACUGCCUGUCAUCUUGGCGGAUGAUUCUUCUGCCUUCUUCAAGACAUGCUCUGAUGUAACUGACAAGGACUCGUACAGUUAAACUCCAGUGGGAAUUCUCUGCCUGGGUUGAGAAAAUACCCAGCUCAACCCAUUCAGUGUAGGGAU